CUGCGAGUCUGCGACUUCCCGCUGAAAGAAAUACGGAGGAAGGAACGAGUUAUCAUUAUCUUUCGUGGAAAAUGUUUAAGAACACGUUCCAGUCUGGGUUUCUAUCCAUUUUAUACAGCCUUGGGAGCAAGCCUUUGCAAAUAUGGGAUAAAGAAGUUGUCAAUGGCCAUAUCAAAAGGCCACAAGAUGAAGACAUCCAGUCCAGUGUCCUUGAGAUCGUUGGAUCAAAUAUCCAAUCAACAUACAUUACAUGCCCAGCAGAUCCUUCGGCCACGCUUGGUAUAAAGCUUCCUUUCUUGGUUAUGAUCGUAAAGAAUCUAAAGAAAUACUUCACGUUUGAGAUCCAAGUACUGGACGAUAAGAAUGUGAGGCGACGUUUCAGGGCUUCUAAUUUUCAAGCUGUGACACGGGUGAAGCCUUAUAUCUGCACAAUGCCCUUGAGGUUGGAUGAGGGGUGGAAUCAGAUCCAGUUGAAUCUUGCUGAUUUUACACGGAGGGCGUAUGGCACAAACUAUGUUGAAACUCUGCGGGUCCAGGUCCAUGCAAACUGUCGCCUGAGGAGGAUAUACUUCUCUGAUCGCCUUUAUUCGGAGGAAGAGCUCCCACCGGAAUUCAAACUGUACCUUCCAAUGCAAAAGCCAUAGAACCUCAGUAAGAGCUGCAGAAUCAUGAAAUCUCUGGAGGAGCUGGUCUUGGAGAUCUGAACAAACUUGGGGCUUACUAUUUUCCCUAGUUGCCUAGAUUUCAUGUAUGCCAGAUGUUCUUCCCUUUAAACAGGAGACAAUAGCAAACACACUCUAGUGCUACAUUAUGUUUGAUCAGUUGUAUCUUUACAAACAAUGUCGGUGUAUUUUUUGAUUUGAUAAGUAGCUGAAAUGGAGGCCGACAUUCCAAAAGGAUGUGGGGAUACAA